rnacentral:rRNA from 1 species
CACGUAGGGUGCGAGCGUUGUCCGGAAUUAUUGGGCGUAAAGAGCUCGUAGGCGGUGUGUCGCGUCGGCCGUGAAAACCUGCAGCUUAACUGUGGGCGUGCGGUCGAUACGGGCAUCACUGGAGUUCGGCAGGGGAGACUGGAAUUCCUGGUGUAGCGGUGAAAUGCGCAGAUAUCAGGAGGAACACCCGGUGGCGAAGGCGGGUCUC